CAGCUGUCUGCAAGUCCUCCUGCAAAGCAGAGGCAAGCGAGCGGGCGGCCUGGCUGGGCUCAGGUGGGCAAACAGUCAUUUUGAAGGGAGACACACAUGGCCAGGGAUGUGGAUUCGCCCCCUCAGGAAGUGUCCAGGUUCCAUGCUGCUCUGUGAGGCAUAGUGAUGCAGAUUUCCUCUCGGCUUCCCGAUUUCAAAGCCAGAGCUGGUUGGAGACUUUUCAGAGCUUCACACCUGGGAACAGCUCCUUCCAGAAGGAAAGAUUUCCUUGGACUCUUCGGGGAGGUCAUUUUCUCCUUAGCAUCUAGCUCUGUGUGCCAUCCUCUUCUAUAAUAGACCACCAGCCUACUCAGAGGUCCACCCUUGAGGGAAACUGUAAAGUAGGUGAAGAUUUUUUUUCAUCACUUGACCCCAGUGCCCCUUCACCUUUUCUCACCAAGCCUCCAGCUGAUGCUCAGCCUUAAAGACUAGAAAAUGAGAAGAUCAUGCUGGCAGCUUACCUGUGCUGCACCUGCUAAAGAACAAGAACACAGACCACUGACGGUGGCCUCAUGCACUGGCCGCAGGGGUGGUGUCGUGGAGCUCCUCUCUGUUACAUCUCACCGAUAACCACCAGUUUGGCCUCAUCCAUGCCUGUGUAUUGCCAGAUCUGCAGUGUGUUUACUAACUAAGAAAUGCCACUUUGAGGAAUUUGGUUUGGGCGGAUCUUUUUCAGUGAGAGCGUCUAUGCAUCGCAUCGAUGAAGCUGGGGAUCUCAGUGUUUU
rnacentral:lncRNA from 1 species